UUAAAUUGAAGAGUUUGAUCAUGGCUCAGAUUGAACGCUGGCGGCAGGCCUAACACAUGCAAGUCGAGCGGCAGCGGGAAAG
rnacentral:rRNA from 1 species